rnacentral:lncRNA from 1 species
UUUAACAUUUGAAAAUCCAUCAAUGUAAUAGAGAACUAUAAUUGACAAGUUACAUUUUUUAAACGGCCGAGUGGCAGCACCAGGAAGUAGGCUUGGAAAGUCCGAGAACUUGGAAUCUGGGUGCAAUUCAGGAGUUAGUGGGAACUCCUUGAUGCUGUUGGCUGGGGAGACUGGGAAGCGGCAGGCUUCCCAGCAGGAAGGGACCUGGGGGUUCAUCCAGUCCACCUGCAGCGUUUAGAUGGCGCGGGCUUCUGUUUUAGACAUGUGGCGGCCCAGGGGCAGUUCCUGUGGGGCCUCCUGGCGUCGCGUUCCAUGUCUUCUCUGCUGCUCUGUUUCUGCUGCAAAACCGGGCAGGUGGCAACGUCCCAUCGGGUCCAUCAGAGGCUGAUUGGGUGCCUCGGUGGGAGGGGAAGGCGGAGGGAAGAGCGACAAGGUAAGGCAAAGCCGGAGACAAACACAUGCGGGGGACCAGCCAGUAAACCAGGCCAGAGAAGUGGACUGCACGGCUGCGGAGAGGGGCUCCGCACGCGGAUGGGUCCUCCACUUCACUCCUUCGUGGCUGGGGCUGUCCGGCUUCUCUGCUAUGUGUCAUGACGAAAGGACGCCCUUUCUUCCGGACUUCC